AUUUAUGGAGAGUUUGAUCCUGGCUCAGGACGAACGCUGGCGGCGUGCUUAACACAUGCAAGUCGAACGGAGUAUUAGCGAGAAGUUUACUUUUUGCUAAUACUUAGUGGCGGACGGGUGAGUAACGCGUGGAUAACCUGCCUAUUAGCCUGGGAUAACGCCUGGAAACGGGUGCUAAUACCGGAUACGCUCAUUGUGCUGCAUAACAUAAUGAGGAAAAGGCUACUGCUAAUAGAUGGGUCCGCGUCCCAUUAGCUUGUUGGUAGGGUAACGGCCUACCAAGGCGACGAUGGGUAGCCGGCCUGAGAGGGCGAUCGGCCACACUGGAACUGAGACACGGUCCAGACUCCUACGGGAGGCAGCAGUGGGGAAUCUUCCGCAAUGGGCGAAAGCCUGACGGAGCAACGCCGCGUGAGUGAUGAAGGCCUUCGGGUUGUAAAACUCUGUCCAGGGGGAAGAAACAAAUGACGGUACCCCUGGAGGAAGCCCCGGCUAACUACGUGCCAGCAGCCGCGGUAAAACGUAGGGGGCAAGCGUUGUCCGGAAUUACUGGGCGUAAAG
rnacentral:rRNA from 1 species